rnacentral:rRNA from 1 species
UACGAAGGGUGCAAGCGUUAAUCGGAAUUACUGGGCGUAAAGGGUGCGUAGGCGGUUGUUUAAGUCUGUCGUGAAAUCCCCGGGCUCAACCUGGGAAUGGCGAUGGAUACUGGGCAGCUAGAGUGUGUCAGAGGAUGGUGGAAUUCCCGGUGUAGCGGUGAAAUGCGUAGAGAUGUGGAGGAAUACCGAUGGCGAAGGCAGCCCCCUGGGACAACACUGACGCUCAGGCACGAAAGCGUGGGGAGCAAACAGG